rnacentral:lncRNA from 1 species
UACUCUUCUUUUAAAGUGAAAAUUUUGAAUGGGAAAACCAAAAAAAAAAGUGCUGCAGCCCCUCAACAUUAAACGUUACAUUUUGAUUAUUUUAUGUUAAAUCAAAAGAUAAAAAAGUCAACAAAGAACUCGGAAUGAAUCUCACCGGCAGUCAGUCCUACAUGGGGUGUGGAGUCAUGAAACAUCGCAAGGGAAUAGGUCACGCAAAAGGGCACGAAAGGAUUGGUCUGGCCAUGCAAAUUGGGUACAAUACACAGGUAGUUUGAAUCAUGAGUUACCAUACCAGCAAAUUGAGGGAAAACUUCUAUUUUUAUCCAACAUCAUUACACGCUUCAAUUAUAUUGGCAUAGAACUGAAGAUCUAUUUCAUUCUGGUUUAAACUUUGCAUGCAUAGUUUAAACUUUAAACCAUAAGCGCACAUUUUU